UACAGAGGUGGCAAGCGUUGUUCGGAAUUAUUGGGCGUAAAGGGCGCGUAGGCGGCCUUGCGUGUCUUUCGUGAAAUCCCUCGGCUUAACUGAGGACGUGCGGAAGAAACUGCAGGGCUGGAGUCCGGGAGAGGGGGGUGGAAUUCUCGGUGUAGCAGUGAAAUGCGUAGAUAUCGAGAGGAACACCAGUGGCGAAGGCGAGUCCCUGGACAAAACCUGACACUGAGGCACGAAAGCUAGGGGAGCAAACAGG
rnacentral:rRNA from 1 species